GGAAGGGRUGUAUUUAUUAGAUUAAAAACCAAUGCCCUUCGGGGCUCUGUGGUGAUUCAUAAUAACUUCUCGAAUCGCACGGCCUUGCGCCGGCGAUGGUUCAUUCAAAUUUCUGCCCUAUCAACUUUCGACGGCUGGGUCUUGGCCAGCCAUGGUGACAACGGGUAACGGAGGGUUAGGGCUCGACCCCGGAGAAGGAGCCUGAGAAACGGCUACUACAUCCAAGGAAGGCAGCAGGCGCGCAAAUUACCCAAUCCCGACUCGGGGAGGUAGUGACAAUAAAUACUGAUACAGGGCUCUUUUGGGUCUUGUAAUUGGAAUGAGUACAAUUUAAAUCCCUUAACGAGGAACAAUUGGAGGGCAAGUCUGGUGCCAGCAGCCGCGGUAAUUCCAGCUCCAAUAGCGUAUAUUAAAGUUGUUGCAGUUAAAAAGCUCGUAGUUGAACCUUGGGCCUGGCUGGCCGGUCCGCCUCACCGCGUGCACUGGUCCGGCCGGGCCUUUCCCUCUGGGGAACCGCAUGCCCUUCACUGGGCGUGUCGGGGAACCAGGACUUUUAC
rnacentral:rRNA from 1 species